GAUGAACGCUGGCGGCGUGCCUAAUACAUGCAAGUCGAACGAACAGAUGCUUCGCUUUCUCCUCUUACGUUAGCGGCGGACGGGUGAGUAACACGUUGAUAACCUCCCUAUAAUACUGGGAUAACUUCGGGAAACCUGCGCUAAUACCGCAUAAUCUAUUUAACCGCAUGGUUCAAUAGUUAACGACGGUUUUUCUGUCCCUUAUCUAUGGAUCCGCGCCGUAUGAGCUAGUUGGUAAGGUAACGGCUUACCAAGGCAACGAUGCGUAGCCGAACUGAGAGGGUGAUCGGCCACACUGGAACUGAGACACGGACAAGACGCCUAAGAGAGGCAGCAGAAGGGAAUCGUAGGCAAUGGGCGAAAGCAUGACGGAGUAAGGCCGAGUGAGUGAUGAAGGUCUUCGGAGAGGAAAAACCUGUUAUGAGGGAAGAACAAAUGUGUAAGUAACUAUGCACGUAUUGACGGUACCUAAAGAGAAAGCAACGGCUAACUACGUG
rnacentral:rRNA from 1 species